GACGAGCCACCCAAACGUUAUUCGGAAUUACUGGGCUUAAAGCGUGCGUAGUCGGCUUUUCAAGUCGGGUGUGAAAGCCCCGGGCUCAACCUGGGAAUUGCAUUCGAUACUGGAUGGCUAGAGUUCGGCAGAGGGAAGUGGAAUUUCCGGUGUAGCGGUGAAAUGCGUAGAUAUCGGAAGGAACAUCAGUGGCGAAAGCGACUUCCUGGACCAGAACUGACGAUCAGGCACGAAAGCGUGGGGAGCAAACAGG
rnacentral:rRNA from 1 species